rnacentral:rRNA from 1 species
AUUGAACGCUGGCGGCAGGCCUAACACAUGCAAGUCGAGCGGAUGAAGGGAGCUUGCUCCUGGAUUCAGCGGCGGACGGGUGAGUAAUGCCUAGGAAUCUGCCUGGUAGUGGGGGAUAACGUCCGGAAACGGGCGCUAAUACCGCAUACGUCCUGAGGGAGAAAGUGGGGGAUCUUCGGACCUCACGCUAUCAGAUGAGCCUAGGUCGGAUUAGCUAGUUGGUGGGGUAAAGGCCUACCAAGGCGACGAUCCGUAACUGGUCUGAGAGGAUGAUCAGUCACACUGGAAAUGAGAGACGGGGCAGACUCCUACGGGAGGCAGAAGAGGGGAAAAUUGGAGAAAGGGCGAAAGAGUGAGACAGAGAUGCGGCGUGUGUGAAGAAGGUCUUCGGAUUGUAAAGCACUUUAAGUUGGGAGGAAGGGCAGUAAGUUAAUACCUUGCUGUUUUGACGUUACCAACAGAAUAAGCACCGGCUAACUUCGUG